CUGAGCCUGGCCUCCAGGAGCCACAUAUCAUUAGUCCCAUCUCUCCGAUGUGGCAGUCACGACCAGAGUCACCUGUUCUCCGAACCUUGGGUCAUCCAGUGAAGUGAGUGCCUCUGCUAGAUUCCCUGAUCUCAAGGAGAAGAAUGAGGCCUUGGACACAGUCCACUCCAGUCUCCUUCCCUGCACCACACACACAGCGCUGCCUGUGUGGAGAUGGGGACAUCAUCUGGGCUUUGGGGGAGGGACAUCUAGAAAAUGCUUGGGGUGGCGCUGUGUGUCUGGCUGGGAGGGCUGGGGCUGAGGGGGAGUAAGUGCUGGAUGCCUUGCUGAUGUGGUCACAUCGCCAUGCUGGGCCACUGCAGCUGCUCACUCUGUUCUGCAGCUGCUGCUCUCCAUGCUCAGCCUGUGGGAGGCUGCAGACCAGGGUUGCCAGCCCUGGAGAAUACCCUGGCCGUAGGCUGCUCCAACCAAAAGGCGUUUACUGGAUGUGUGUCCGCCUGACACGAAACACUACACUUCCCAGCCUCCCUUUCAAAUAAGCUAAAAGUCCAUUUCUUCUGCAUGAAGAAAGUGGUCCAUUCACACAAAGGACUACUGGACAGAAGGUAAAACAAAUGAACUUUAGCAAUAUGGGUGAAUCUUAGAAACACACAAGUAAGCAAAAAUAUAAGCCCUAAAAGACUACAUGGAAAAUGAUACCUUUUUAAAGAGGUUAAAACAACUAAUAUAAACAUACAUUGAUAUAUUUUUGGAAAUAUGUAGAGAUGCAAUAAAACUAGGUGGAAAGAGAGCAGGGGAAGGUUGUACACAGGGGAAGGUUGUACCUUGAGACAGAGGAAGGGCGUGAGAGGGAACACUGGGGAGAUGUAAGUCAUUGUCGAGGCACUUGUUGAGGUGGUGAUUUUGCAGGUACUCACUGUGACGUUAAAAACAAAUCAUGAAAUAACAUAAACCAUGCAUGGACCAAUGAUGAGAAUAUCAGGGAACCAAGGAUGGGGGCAUCCAUGAAGUGUCAUUACAAUGAUCUCAUGCAAAUACAGUAUUCAAAUACCCCUCUUCACCCCACCACAGAAUCUAGAAUCUCCCUGAACUUGCACAGAUCUUGUCUUAUUAUUCCUUGUACAAUGGAAGAAGCAUCCCAAUUCUUACACUUGAAGAAAAACUCCAUCACUUGUUCUCUGGGUCCCAUUUCUUUUCAUCCUGUCAAGGACUCUGCUCCUUGGUGGUCCCCUCACUCUCUCCCUCUUAGAGGAUCAUUUCCACCAGCACAUAAACAUGAUGUAGAUUCCCCCACCUUAGAGAAAAGCACGCUCUUGCUAGGUGAAAUGGGAGUCGGCAUGUUCUAACAAAGAACCUCAAACCAGUGUACCAGCCACGAAGGUUAACCACGGCGGACCGUGUCUAAGAAAGCGGGGUACUGUGUUAGCUUCUUUUCUGUGUCGCUCUGCCAUCUUUCACGUGAGCUUCCUCCAAGGCAGGUGCUCUGGAAAGUGCCAACACUUCUAUUCAGCCAGAAGGAAAGGGAAAAGAGGAAGAAGAUGUGCCCAUUCAGGCCUGGUCUGAAGUUGCAUGUACCAUG